rnacentral:rRNA from 1 species
AACGAACGCUGGCGGCAUGCCUAACACAUGCAAGUCGAACGAGACCUUCGGGUCUAGUGGCGCACGGGUGCGUAACGCGUGGGAACCUGCCCUUAGGUUCGGAAUAACUCCCCGAAAGGGGUGCUAAUACCGGAUAAUGUCUUCGGACCAAAGAUUUAUCGCCUUUGGAUGGGCCCGCGUUGGAUUAGCUAGUUGGUUGGGUAAAAGCCUACCAAGGCGACGAUCCAUAGCUGGUCUGAGAGGAUGAUCAGCCACACUGGGACUGAGACACGGCCCAGACUCCUACGGGAGGCAGCAGUGGGGAAUAUUGGACAAUGGGCGAAAGCCUGAUCCAGCAAUGCCGCGUGAGUGAUGAAGGCCUUAGGGUUGGAAAGCUCUUUUACCCGGGAUGAUAAUGACAGUACCGGGAGAAUAAGCUCCGGCUAACUCCGUG